GACGAACGUUGGCGGCGUGCUUAAUACAUGCAAGUCAACUGAAGCAGUGGUAGCAAUAUCGCUGUGGAGGUGGCGCACGGGUGAGUAACACGUAGGUAAUCUGCCUUCAGGUCUGGCAAAACUCCGGGAAACCGGGGCUAAUAGCAGAUGAUGCAGCGGCUCGACAUCGAGACAGUUGUUAAAGCUAUGGCGCCUGAAGAUGAGCCUGCGUCUGAUUAGCUAGUUGGCGGGGUAACGGCCCACCAAGGCAACGAUCAGUAGCUGGUCUGAGAGGAUGAUCAGCCACACUGGAACUGAGACACGGUCCAGACUCCUACGGGAGGCAGCAGUAAGGAAUAUUGCUCAAUGGGAGAAAUCCUGAAGCAGCAACGCCGCGUGAGGGACGAAGGGCUUUUGCUUGUAAACCUCUGUAGUGAGAGAAAAAAAUCCCAAUCUUUGGGACAUGAUGGUAUCUCAAAAGUAAGCCCCGGCUAACUACGUG
rnacentral:rRNA from 1 species